UCCGGGGUCGUCUAACGGCAAGACGCGGGCCUUUGGAGCCUGAAAUGGAGGUUCGACCCCUCCCCCCGGAACCG
rnacentral:tRNA from 1 species